UACGGAGGGUGCAAGCGUUAAUCGGAAUUACUGGGCGUAAAGCGUGCGUAGGCGGUAAGUUAAGUCUGCUGUGAAAUCCCUGGGCUCAACCUGGGAAUGGCGGUGGAUACUGGCUUGCUGGAGUAUGGUAGAGGAAGGUGGAAUUCCCGGUGUAGCGGUGAAAUGCGUAGAGAUCGGGAGGAACAUCAGUGGCGAAGGCGACCUUCUGGACCAGUACUGACGCUGAGGCACGAAAGCGUGGGGGGAGCAAACAGGAUUAGAUACCCUGGUAGUCCACGCCCUAAACGAUGUCAACUGGUUGUUGGGCAACUUGAUUGUUCAGUAACGAAGCUAACGCGAGAAGUUGACCGCCUGGGGAGUACGGUCGCAAGAUUAAAACUC
rnacentral:rRNA from 1 species